UCAACUUGAGAGUUUGAUCCUGGCUCAGAACGAACGCUGGCGGCAGGCUUAACACAUGCAAGUCGAGCGCCCCGCAAGGGGA
rnacentral:rRNA from 1 species